CCUACGGGUGGCAGCAGUGGGGAAUAUUGCACAAUGGGGGAAACCCUGAUGCAGCGACGCCGCGUGAGUGAAGAAGUAAUUCGUUAUGUAACGCUCUAUCAGCAGGGAAGAAAAUGACGGUACCUGAGUAAGAAGCCCCGGCUAACUACGUGCCAGCAGCCGCGGUAAUACGUAGGGGGCAAGAGUUAUCCGUAUUUACUGGGUGUAGAGGGAGCGUAGACGGCAGUGCAAGUCUGGAGUGAAAGGCGUGGGCUCAACACCCGGACUGCUCUGGAAACUGUACGGCUGGAGUGCAGGAGAGGUAAGUGGAAUUCCUAGUGUAGCGGUGAAAUGCGUAGAUAUUAGGAGGAACACCAGGGGCGAAGGCGGCUUACUGGACUGUAACUGACGUUGAGGCUCGAAAGCGUGGGGAGCAAACAGGAGUAGAUACCCCAGUAGUC
rnacentral:rRNA from 1 species